AUUUCAAUAGCGUUUAAAUUUUGUAAACGCUCUUAAAUGAUUAUGAACGCUAUUAAAUGAAAGUUAUGAAACCCAUGUACUGAAAAUACGAGCGGGAAACAAAAACAAUGCCCGGGGAUUUAAUUUAUGAGUUCAAAGCGUGACCCAACUCCCAAUACUCCAUCAUUUCAAAGCGCGAACAAAAACUCUUCUCUUUCUCUCUUGACAAAAGAUCCCAGCAACUUUCUUCAUCCAACCAAAACCCUAGAUCCCUGCGAUUUUCUUCAUUCCAGUGACUUCCAUGGGAAAGCUCUUCGCCAUCCAAUCCAAACCCUAGAUCUUUUGGUCUGACACAAAUUGGAAUCAGAUUGAUACAUUCAAUUUCAAAGAGAAUGCAAAGCAAGGCUCCACGUACGUGUCUUCGGCAAGGUUUUCCAAUCCCGAAUUCCGACUCUGUUGGUCUCAAUGUUUGCCACCUUCGCCUCAAUCUACUUCUCCAGACGGUUGUAGCAAGAUUCUGAGAACAAGGUUUAUUUGAUUAAAGAGCUUGAUAGGAUUACUGGGCAGGGAACAACAUAAGAAGUUAUCAGUAGUUAAGAUGGAGUUCGCUGCAGCCAAUCAAGAGGGUUAGAGCGUUCAACGCUGAAAAAUGGAACCAGGCAACUGGUGGUGAUUGGAAUUUUUACAAAAUUUGGUUGUAAGAACAAUAGAGAUGCAAUUCGUAAGACUUGGAUGGGAAAUGGUAUUGGUACCCUUUUGGCAAACUAUGAUGACCUCAAAAUAUUUCAAGACCCUGGUAUUGCUUAAGUUGUCAUGUAACUAGAUCAAGGUAUUAAAUUAGUUCUUUUAUUCCAUGUGCCAUGAAAAAAUUCAUAUUUCUGUUUUAAAGUUUUGAAUUAAUAUGCUUUAUGAUUGACCAAGGAGGCCAUGAUCUACUGCAAAGUUUUCUCUCAACCCUCCCUCAGCUAGCACAUAUGUAAAGUAUGAUAUAUCAAUCUGCUGAAAAGAUUUCAUUCACAUGCAAGAGAAUCAUCGCCCUACGCACGUAUAAAGAACCUUAAAAGGAAAAGUUACUGGAGAUGAUGAGCAUGUGCAUACGUGUGAAGCUUGUAAUUAAGAGAGGACUGAUCUAACUAACUAAUUUAAAGUCCUAGCCCUUCGUUGAAUGACUAUAAGCACCCAAGGGAAUUCUAGAAUGAGUACUGGACUACCAGCACAAUUGACACUGUAAGUUGGAAUACUUUAGCUUGUUAUCGGUCUAUUUACUGAACCAGAAUUACUUCAAAGUUAGAGAGAAGGGGUUAUUUAUGGGAUGUGUGGUUGAAACUAAAGGCCAAGCUCAAGAGUUGGAAUGGUCGAGGAGUUGAAAAGUGAAUGGUUCUUUCAAGAACCCAGUUAGCAGUUUCAAUGGCUGUGAGAAGUAUAAUAGACCAUUGUGGACAAUCAUUGCAUUAGAAUAGGCAUUAUGUGUGUUCAAGAAAUUAGCAUGUUAUCAACCAGUAUGCUGAGUUUCAUGUCGACAAUCAAAAGAAAGCCAAAAAUCAUUGUUCGUGGGUUAAUUCUAGCAGAAUUUGUAUCAUUAUUAUAAAGGGAGAAAACAUUGUUGGCUGAGAUAUGAAGUGCUCUUGUAAUUUUAGUAAUGUCACAUUGUAUUUUGGUUACUUUUGAGAUCAUUAAUGAAAAUGAUGUAUUUUUGAUGUGAA